CGCGGCCUAUCAGCUUGUUGGUGAGGUAAUGGCUCACCAAGGCUUCGACGGGUAGCCGGCCUGAGAGGGCGACCGGCCACACUGGGACUGAGAUACGGCCCAGACUCCUACGGGAGGCAGCAGUGGGGAAUAUUGCACAAUGGGCGCAAGCCUGAUGCAGCGACGCCGCGUGCGGGAUGACGGCCCUAGUGGUUGUAAACCGCUUUCAGCAGGGACGAAAAUGACGGUACCUGCAGAAGAAGUCCCGGCUAACUACGUGCCAGCAGCCGCGGUAAUACGUAGGGGACAAGCGUUGCCCGGAUUCAUUGGGCGUAAAGAGCUCGUAGGCGGUUCAGUAAGUUGGGUGUGAAAGCUCCGGGCUCAACCCGGAGAGGCCACUCAAUACUGCUGUGACUAGAGUCCAGUAGAGGAGCGUGGAACUCCUGGUGUAGCGGUGAAAUGCGCAGAUAUCAGGAAGAACACCGGCAGCGAAGGCGGCGCUCUGGGCUGGUACUGACGCUGAGGAGCGAAAGCAUGGGUAGCAAACAGGAUUAGAUACCCUGGUAGUCCAUGCCGUAAACGUUGGGCACUAGGUGUGGGGAGGAAUCAACCCUCUCCGUGCCGUAGCUAACGCAUUAAGUGCCCCGCCUGGGGAGUACGG
rnacentral:rRNA from 1 species